UCCUCCCGCAAAAAUGAGUGAAAGGGAAAGAAGAAAAAAAGCAUGGUUUUCAUAAUUUUCAUGCGUAAAAGAAAGUAGGAAAAACAAGUUGGAAAGGUGAAAGGAGAUGAGGCGUGAAGGAAAAAGCAAGGUGGUUCCUUUUAUCUGUUGAACAAAAAAAUAUUGAAUGAAUGGUUAGAUUAAAAAGGAGGACAAAAACCUGUUGUGUGGUUGACAGCAGCUAAAUGGUUCCCUCCAAAUCCAACCGAUCCAGUGGUACUUAGUGAAAUGAGGGGCUGAAUCUGAAUUCUGAAGUCGAUGUGCUGCUGCAUACCUGCCUGCCUGCCAGCUUAUUGUGUGGCUCAGAAACAACAAGAAUUUCCAAUUGCCCCAUGCACCUGGAAAAGCAUGUGGAGAUCACAAAUCAUAAGCAAACAUAGGUACAUAAUCAGCUGAGCUGGUGGAUUGAACUCGUUGGUGCGUUAGCUUGAGAGCACAGGCAGGGUGGUGAAUAGGGGGAGAAAGGCAUGAAAAUAUCAGACGCACCAAAUCCAAUAUCAACUUUAUCGAUUUCUACCCAACACAGGCACUAGCAGGAAAGGAAGAGAGAGAAAGGGGAGAUAGUCAUUCCCCCCACAAACACAAACAGCAACAAAUAGCUUCUGCAGGCUUUAUACAGGGAGACUUGCUUUUCUAUAUUUGGUACAUGUAGUUAGAUAUUAGGAGGUCCUGUUGCUUUUCAAUCCUUUUCAUCUUCAACUCAACACCCAAUUUUGAAUUUUAAAUUUUUAGCUCUGAUUAUUUUAGGUUUUUUUCUUGUUUUAACUUAUGGAUUUAUGAGUUUGUGGUUUGGGUUUUUAGGUUAAACCAUCUUAGUUCAGUCAUUUUUGGUAAGUGUGAAUUUCUUUUUUAUCAAUUUGGACAAAUCUGGUUUAUUCA